GUACUCGUAGCUUGGAGGCAAUGGUGCAGACUCAUCUUGCUAGUGGAGCAACUUAUAUUGAGUUAUAUGUACAAUUUACGUUGCCAACUGAUGUACUUCUGUCCGGUGUUCGAGAUGUAUACACGACCCCUGGCCGACACUCGGUUAGCGGGUUACAAAAUACGGAACAGCCCAUGUUCGGUAGCGGUGUCGAAUGCACAUCCCCCGCAAGACACUGUAUCGGUGGGUGGGACAUGUACGUCGGUGGCUCGACAUUUGACGCUGGAAAUACGUACUGGGGAACUGCAUCAAGUUCUAGUGGAUGUCAAUCUACAUCCAAUUGGGGACGUUAUCAAAUGCCCAGAAAAAGGGAUGACGUACUACCUACGACAUCAACCGGUGAGGGGACGUCGUACGCUGCAGAUGAUUGUGGGUUAGAAGAUGACUCCGAUGUGGAUCCACCUCGAAAGCCCGGGUCGGAUGGUGUAGAGGUGGGAUUAUUUUCUGAACUGGAGCCUAUUCCAACAGAAGGUGAAGAUGGUGAAAAGAGUUCAGAUGAUGAAGAAAAUCCACGAUUCAGAGCAUACUCACCUCCAGCCCACAUGCAUAAUGUCGAUCUGUCAGCGGAUGAUGCGUUAGAGUUUCCAGAUCUACCACACCGGAUGUGCGAUCGUACAAGUUCGGGGUUAGAUUUCGGUGAACUUAAAGUUGGUAAUCAGUUUACCAAUAAGGAUAGUUUUAUUGGUGCUUUGAAACAGCAUAGCAUCAAAAACGGCGUUAAUUACCACGUCGUUAAAUCAAAAUCUGAUAAGUUUGAGGCGAAGUGUGCGGUGCAAGACGGCACAUGUUCAUGGAAAAUCGUCGCCUCGUUAAGGAAAAGGACAGGGUUGUGGGAGAUAAAAAAGUACAAAGGUUCACAUACAUGUGCUGCAGGUACAGUAUUGAAUGUAUCUGAAUAAUAAGUUUAUUUUGCAAUGUUGUAUUAUUUAAUGUACUCCCUCUGUAGGUGUUUCACAAGAUCAUCCCAAAAUGGAUUCAGCUAUGUUGGCUAGCUUGAUACUGCCCACGAUAAAAGUAGAUCCUAGGACUUCAGUGCCGGUGAUAAUUGCCAAUAUCCGUAGCCAAAUGGGGUACAGGCCCUCUUACCGCAAGGCUUGGAUAGCUAAGCAAAAGGCGUUGGAGAAGCUGCAUAGUGGGUGGGACGCCUCAUAUAAUGAAAUAUGGCAGUGGUGUCAGGUGCUAGAGAGAUACGUCCCAGGUGCCAUCACAGACCUUGAAACGGAACAUGCGUACUACAGCGGUCGAUUGCUACGUGGAUGCCAAGUGUUCAAACGCCUAUUUUGGACCUUUAAACAAUACCGAGACACAUUUCCAUACUACAAACCGUUGGUACAAAUUGAUGGUACCUUCAUGUUCGGUAGGUAUACUCAUCGGCUAUUAGUUGCAGUGGCACAGGACGGCGGUGGGAGAAUUCUUCCAAUUGCAUUUGCAAUAACACCGGGGGAGUCGUCUGAUGACUGGGAUUUCUUUCUCUCUAGGUUAAGGAGGCAUGUGUCCCCCAACCUGAUAUCUGUGUUAUUUCAGAUCAGGGUGCCAGUAUACUAGCUGCAUUUGAUCGAGAGGGAACCUUGUGGGGGAGUCAACAGAAGUUGUGCGGAUGGUGUAGGAACCCAGGCCAUACAAGUCGGUCAUGCCCUAAUCGCAAUAGUUGAAUGUAAUUUUAGAAAUAGUUAUCAAAUUAGUUUAAUUUCUUAAUUGUUAGUACCAGUCAAAACUUUUUACCAAAUCUAAAAUUAUGUAAAACUAUGUAAAAUUAUUAAGCCCAAAAACUUUUGUUAAUGGUUAGUAAAAUUAUCAAACUAUGUAAAAUUAUUAAGCCCAAAAAAUUUUGUUAAUGGUUAGGGUUUUUAAUUAAAUUAAGUUAGGGUUUAGGGUUUUUAAUUAAAUUAGGUUAGGGUUAGGGUUUUUAAUUAAAUUAGGUUAGGGUUUUAAAUUAAAUCAGGUUAGGGUUAUGGUUUUUAAUUAAAUUAGAUUAGGGUUAGGGUUUUUAAUUAAAUUAGGUUAGGGUUUAGGGUUUUAAAAUAAAUUAGGUUAGGAUUAGGGUUAGGGUUAGGGUUUUUAAUUAAAUUAGGUUAGGGUUAGGGUUUUAAAAUAAAUUAGGUUAGGGUUUAGGGUUUUAAAAUAAAUUAGGUUAGGGUUAGGGUUUUUAAUUAAAUUAGGGUAGGGUUAGGGUUUUUAAUUAAAUUAGGGUAGGGUUAGGGUUUUAAUUAAAUUAGGUUAGGGUUAGCGUUUUUAAUUAAAUUAGGUUAGGUUAGGGUUAGGGUUUUAAAUUAAAUUAAGUUAGGGUUAGGGUUUUUAAUUAAAUUGGGUUGAGGUUAGGGUUUUUAAUUAAAUUAGGUUAGGGUUUAGGGUUUUAAAAUAAAUUGGGUUGAGGUUAGGGUUUUUAAUUAAAUUAGGUUAGGGUUUUAAAAUAAAUUGGGUUGAGGUUAGGGUUUUUAAUUAAAUUAGGUUAGGGUUUAUGGUUUUAAAACAAAUUAGGAUUUUUUUUUACAUCAAAUAGAACUUCUAUUUAAUUAUAUCAAAUAAUAUCAAAAUAACUCGGAAAAUUUUUUAUGCGUAUUACAUAAAAUAAACUUCUAUUUCAUUAUAUAAAAUAAUAAAUUUUGAUACAGUAAUCAAUGUCUAUGCCCGGGGGAUUCGGUUCCACAUGGCGGCCGUCGACGGUUAUGCGCUAGAUUCUUCCUUCCUCUAGCUUCAGGCGGCGGUUGUUCUUCCUCCAGUGCUGAUUGUUGUUCUUCCGGUUCGGCAUCUGGUUGUCGGACUUGGGACGAUGAUCCACCUUCAAAGAAUAGUGUAUGUGGAGGUGUUUGCAUCAUGAACAGAGACGGUGUUUGAAAGUCAUGCGUUGCUGGCGAUUGGUAAAAAGGAGAGCUUCACGACGGCCCCCCUUGCGACCCCUCCUGUGCCACUGGCCUAGUUAUCGGUGGUCCGCUCGGCAUAACAGGAAAUGGAGCUGAUCCGGGCAUUUGGCUUCAACCUACCAUAGGAUUCGAAAAAGGAUACAUGUACGGGUUAGGGUACAUAUAAGGGCUAGGAAACACACCUGGCGUCAGGUGACUGCGUCGGUGCUCUCAUUGGGGAUGGUGAUUACAUGGCCGCUGAUGAUGAGCUGGGUGAAUGUCUGGGCCUCGUUGAGGGGCUGCCUUCGUAGUCUUGUCGCCUUGGAUUUAGAGGCCCGCGCAUUUCCCUUCCGCCACGUAUUUGCUGCUGCCUCUCCUCUGGCGUAAAUACGACUUGCCAUGGAUCCUAAACCAUGGCAUGUAUUCUGGAAUGCACGCUAACUCCGGAACGAUGAUUUCUUCCCGAGUAGGUAGAUAUUCAUGCCGAUUUUCCCACAUUUCCGUGUACUUUGACCAGUAUCUAGGCCAAUUCAUACCUAAUAGCCGAAGGUCGAUUUUGUGGUGAUCGUCAAACACCUCAGGGUCCUCAGGAAUCGGUUGUCUACAUCCAAACUGUCGUAGGACUCUGUCUGUCUGGUGGGGCUCCACGGUUGCAUAGUUGAUCAACACCACUUUCGCGUGCCAAGCGUUCAGAUUUUGUAAACUCUUCUAGGAUUACUGCCCGGAUUGCCGGAUCCUCGUAUGAAGUCCAUUUAAACUACAUGAACAUGAUAGAAAUAUUAGUUAUAUACAUAAUAAAAAAUACUAA
rnacentral:lncRNA from 1 species